rnacentral:rRNA from 1 species
CUAGACUUGACAUCUCCUGAAUUACCCUUAAUCGGGGAGGCCCUUCGGGGCAGGAAGACAGGUGGUGCAUGGUUGUCGUCAGCUCGUGUCGUGAGAUGUUGGGUUAAGUCCCGCAACGAGCGCAACCCUUAUCAUUAGUUGCUACCAUUAAGUUGAGCACUCUAGUGAGACUGCCACGGUUAACGUGGAGGAAGGUGGGGAUGACGUCAAAUCAUCAUGCCCCUUAUGUCUAGGGCUACACACGUGCUACAAUGGUGAGUACAAAGAGAUGCAAUACCGCGAGGUGGAGCCAAACUCAAAAACUCAUCCCAGUUCGGAUUGUAGGCUGAAACUCGCCUACAUGAAGCCGGAGUUGCUAGUAAUCGCGAAUCAGCAUGUCGCGGUGAAUACGUUCCC